GUGCUCGCUUUGGCAGCAUAUAUACUAAAAUUGGAACUUUCCAGAGAAGAUUAGCAUGGCCCCUGCGGGAGGUUGACACACACAUUCGUGAAGCAUUCAAUAUUUUC